AUCAAUUAAACAUAUAUUUUCAUUGUUUCAUAGCAAAAUAGUACAGAAUUACAGGCAAGAGUUUUAUUUUUUCUCUUGAAUAGUUUUUACGGUAAACUUAUUUCCCCCAUUCGAACGUAAGAAAAUAACAUCUGCCGUCAAAAUUUUCCACACAUUCAAACGUCAAAACAUUUGCUACCAUACCGAAAAACGGAAGAUUAGAACAAUACGGUAUGUCUAAAAGGUAAAACGAAGGCCUAGGUAGCAAUAUAGGGGAUAAAAGCUAAAUGCGCGCCCGUCAGUACGAAUAGCACUAACACAUUCAAAGCCAGUGUAACAGGUAAUAGGAAGAAUGCAGUACUGCACUGCACACAACACACACGGUACGCAACGGUAACAAUUCAGCAAAGUAUGAUAGUGUUCGUGUGAUAUUUUCUGUGUACCUACACUCUGCUGACUUCACCCGUCAAUCGAAAUAAAUUCCCGGCCGGCUUCGGUUUCUACAUCAUUCGACGGUGAGCAUUCGGUAGUAAAGGCAGCAGAAGAGUUAAAGUAGGCUUUGAGAGUUAGUUGAUUGAUUGAUUGAUUUUGGAAAAAGAAAACUCAUUGUGUGGAACAUGUUUUAAUUUUAAUUGGUUGGUGCUAUUAAUAGAUAAAAAUGUUGAAAAGUUCGACCAACAACAAUGGGAUUGUGAAAUGGAAAAAUCCAGAAACAUGCUGGCAGCUUUUGUCAAAGAUGGCUACCGCAAAGCAGAGGCAACCAAAAAGUUCAAGAAAAAAAGUUAUUACUAAAUUAAAUGUUUGUGCAAAAGCGUUUAAUAUUGCUAUUGCUGUUCCGGCUGGUUGAAAUCUCGAAGUUAUUUUUAAUGGAUUAUGCAACUAGAUUGAACCGGCGAAGGAUGUCACGCUCAAACGUCGCACACCGGGUUUUGAACAUACGCAGCAUUCUCUUUCGGUAGCGUCGUACCUAAAUAUAGAUCGAUGCAGGGAGGUGAUGCAGUAAUACAGAAAAGUGAAUUCGAGCGUCGUUUUUGGAGUUAGGUCGUUCCUGAAUAUUACAGCUUCACUUAUGGGCUCACGUGGUCUGCUUCGACACGCCUAUCAAUCUCGAUCGAUACCUGAGGUGCUGCAGUUCAGUGCGUUGGCUAUGUUUUCAGAAAGAAAUCGAACAUUCUGUAUUGUUCCUCGAAAGCUUAAAGAGAUGCAGUAAUUCAGAAAAGCAACUCCAGGAAACUUUGCGGGAAGGACUUCAUCAGCGGAGCUGGUUCCUAACGUCUUUUUCCUCAAUGCUGAUCGCUGCUUAGGACGCUCUAGUAACACACAGGUAGUUUUCAGCAGGAUCAGAACGUGAAUCACGGUAACAUCGGAUAUGCUUCGGUUAAGGAUAACCAUUAGGCGUGAUUUGGUUUAUUUGUUCAAAACUAAAUCGCUUUAGAUUAUCACUAGUGUCACUAUAGCUACGGAUUUGUUUUAACCCAUCUCGAGACGGUCACAGAAUACGUGGCCUUCUUUGUUUAUUUGGGUAUUGAAUUGUGUUGUUCAAUGCAUCUCUUCAUAACUAGGUCGUCUUAGAAUAUUUACGUUGUUACGUUAGUUUUACAAUAGGAUCAUCGAAUUCCAGACCACUAUAAUUUCGAAUAUGUUUUAGAAAUUCGUUUUUUCCCUCUCUGGAGCCACCGAAAUGUUGCUUCCUUUCACUGUAGUGAAUUAACUUUGUUGUCGAUUUUGCUUAUCUCUUCAAAACUAGGUCGCUUUAGAACAUUUUACGUUGAUCUAAAAAGUUAGUAUUUUAAAAUAGGGACCUCGAAUUCCAAACUACUGUAAUUUCGGAUAUGUUUUAGAAAUUCGUUUUUUCCCUCUCUGGAGCCACCAAAAUGUUGCUGCUUUCUUCAUCGUUCUCUUUAAUGACAUAUUUUCUUUAUGAUUUUGUUUACAACGAUUUUGCCUAUCUCUUCAAAACUAGGUCGUUUUAGAAUAUUUCCGAUCUUCCAUGCGAUCUGCAUUGUUUUAAACAAGGACCUCGCUACUGAUCGCGUAUUAAGUUGUUUUUUCAUUAUUUUUCUGGUGAAAAUAGUUUUCGUCAAAUCUGAUUUAACCGUAGUGGUUCCAAUAAUUUUUUUAUAUUUUAAAGAAAUCUUCAAAAUGGUGAUAUCGAAUUCCAGACCACUAUAAUUUCGAAUUUUAGA